ACAUCAGGGCAAAGACAGAGAGGGACUGUGGAGGGAUGAGAACAUUUUCUGCUCCAUGGAGGGCUCUGCUGCUCCCACAGCUUCCAACAAAACCCCCGUGGAUUCCAGCGUGGAAUCCAGGCCUGGUCGAUUCUCAGUUUUCUCAUUUGCAAAGCAAAUCCCGCCAGGAGCAGUUUCUCUGCCAGGUGGCUCAGGGCACAUCUGCUUCUCCUGGGCUGCAGCCUCCCACUGCUGAGGGCUGGGAAGUUUUUAAAUCGUCAGUACUGGGCCUUGCUCGGUGCUUCAGCAGCGAAACUGAGCACUGACCCCUUCAGCCUGUAGUUAUUCACUCUGUCUUGUACUACUUGGUGUAGAGGUGUUGCAGGUGAUGUCUUGGCUGCUGCAGAGAGGCAGAAAUCCUUGCUGGGUCCAUCUGAAACACAGUGUAUUUUUCUUGUUUUUCUAUUCGGGAUGUGUUUCUCUGGCAAGAAACAGAUAAUCACAACUAUGGCCUUACCGCUGACAGCUUAAAUACAAGUGCCAGCUCUGAAAAUGCUCCUGAAGACAAAAAGCCGUGAAGGAUGCUUUGGUUCAAACUGCUAAACCCAAACUUACUGAAAAAAUUGCUUUAAGGGGCACUUUGCUGUCCUUUAUACCAAAAAUAAAAUCGAGUAAGAACCCCGCUCCAGUUCCAGCCUAAAAUCACGCAGCAUUUCCCAUCUCCCAUGAAUGUCACGGGCUCCCCUGAGGAAUUCUCCUUCGCAUGUUGUUCCAUCACAGCUGAAGUCUCCAAAGUGACCUUUCCAAGCAGCUGGAUGGCAGCAGGGAGGUGCCACAGCCAGAUCCUUGGGAGGAAUGGUCAGACGCGAUUCCCAUUUCCAGGCGUGUCAAAAGGGAUUUUCGUCCUCGUCAGAAGGGCAAAACGCUGGAAGUUGAAAAUAGUGCUGGGGAAAAAAACCCCAAAACAUAAAGUUGCUCAGAACUCACGUCCAAAAGUCCUCUGGAAACAUUUCAGGUUCUUUAUAUUGAUAGAUCCCGUUGUAUUAAAAUAUGGAUCAGAGUUGAAAUGGGAGGGUUUGAAUUUCUGUCGCUUUCAGGUUGAAAAAAUGGCAUUAACGUGAUCUGAGUAAUUUGGUAGCAAAAAUCUUCCCUUAAAAACUGCUCCAUCAUAAAAGAAACCCCAAAUACCCCCAGAUUCAGAGGAACCAGCCCAUUUCUAACUGUUUUUUUACAUUACUGUCGGAGGUUAGGGUUUUUCCUUUUGUUUUCCUUUCCCUUAGGGGAUUUUCUCCCACUUUCUUAUCUCACUGUGCUGGUUUCUGUUCCUCUCUGACCUCAGUCACGUUGUUAAUAAAGAUUUCUCCUCCUUUCACAGGAGGUUUCUUUUCUGCCAGGACUAUUUUAUAUCAUAAAAACACAGAGUUAGGGAAUCCUGGAAUGGUUUGGGUUGAGAUCCCUUAAAUCCCACCCAGUGCCACCCCUGCCAUGGCAGGGACACCUUUCACUGUCCCAGGGUGCUCCAGCCUGGCCUCGGACCCUUCCAGGGAUCCAAGGGCAUUAAAGAUCCUUCCAGCUGAACCUGUCCCUUAUUCCACUUGUAUUUUAGGUGAAUGGAAGAGCUUCUGUAAAUGAUUUUGGGUGCUGAGAUUUGUGCUGUCACUGCUGAGCUGAGAACGUCCGCAGCAAAUCUCGCUGGGACCUCUACAGCUGUCCCCUCCACCACUCCAUGUCAGUGGAAAUUUGAUUUCCAUCACUCAUCUGAUUGCAUAAUGAUUAUCAGCACCGGACUAUUAAAUUUCCAUCCCUCCUCCAGGCUGCUGGAUAGGAGAGAGGGGAAAAAGAACCCUUUAACUGCAUCCAAAGCCGGCAUUUAAUGCUCUCCUUAAUACCAGCCUAUCAAUGUCGGAGGCCUCCGUAAUUCCUUUUAAACUGUCAGUUAACAAGAAUUAUCCUUGUAAACAAACAAAUCCUUGUGUGAACAGGCUCUUUUGAUAGUCAGGAAUGAGGCUGAGCGAGCG